CCACACUAGGUUCACCCGCGCAAGCGCCAUCCAGUGACCUCGGCAACAGGGGCCCCGCGGCCCAGGCGCAGCCCCACCCCCGGGCGUCAGCACGUUUUCCCAGGCAGCAGCCUCCUGUGGGAGGGAGUCAGGGGUCGCGCGGCCUGAAGGAGCAACCGCCAGGAUGGAAAUGGCAGACUUUGGGAAGGAUCCCUCUGUCAGCGCAGGAGACAAGGUCCUUCCACCAUCCAGAAACCUUCGUCAAAAUCUAUCUUUGAGGCAAAUAAAACUCUCGCCUUCCAGAAGUGAUGGACACAGAUUCCAGAAGUCUGAGUUUUGAUGAAGGAAGUUGCUGUGUCAGAGAAACCCACGUGACCAGGAACCAGCGAACUCCCACCCAGGGCCAACAGGGUAUUGAGGACCUCAAGCCAACAGGCUUUGAGGCAUGCAUCCUGCCAACAAUUGACACCUGAGCAGGGUCAAAUAAAGGGCCCCGGGAUAAAACUGAGAAGGCCACUGUCAGGCUUCUUACAAGGGACCAGUAUGGAUGUAGAAGCCCAAAGAGGAAAUCGGUAAGAGCUGAACUCACUUCUUCCUUUCCCAAAGCACAAGUCCCCCCUCCUAUACACCACCACCCCACAAUCCCAGUGCACUACACAGAAACACCCCCACUCUCUAUUAGAGCAAACGUUUAUUGAGGAGGAUUAAUAUUCUUGGUUGUGCUGAAGAAAGAUUGUUCUGAUCAGAGGAUAUGUUAUUGUGAAAACUGUAAGGCUUUCUCAACAAGACCUAAACGAUUUCUUUAGGGAAAUUUCUUCUCCCUCAAAGUGCUGGAGAAGCAUUUUCUGCUUGAAUAGAAGCGUCAAAUCUCCGAACACAGUACUUUCAUCAGCGGUGAGGGGGGCUGCAAGGACCUGGCAUACUUGAUGCACACAGGUGGGGCCUAGGUGAUGUACGGGCUCCCUGGAGGACAGAGAAGAAGCGAGUUGGCUUGGAGUUAAUAGCUGCUUCUUGAAGGCCCCAACUUUCUGGGGAAUUCCGGUCCUGUGUCUGUUCUGCCUGACACUUGUAAGACACUUCUGUUCGCAGAGACGGCUUCUUGGCUACAGAACUCGAUCCUGGCCCGUUUGCCGUGUGGUGUGUCAGAGAAAGCCUGAUAGUUG